rnacentral:lncRNA from 10 species
GGAGUGCUAAUACAUGUUUGUUGAAAGGACAAGGUGAUGCUGGAACAGGGUGGACCCGUCAUCCGAUAUGACCAGAGUCCUCAAAGAAGACGGCGUGAGGACAUGGAGGACACCAUGUGACAGCAAAGGCGGAGGCUGAGUUUCGCCAUCGCCAGCUGAGAUCACCAAGGGCUGCAGCCACACAGAAGCUGAACGGCGGGGAGCGGUGAGAGCCUGGCCCUGCCACACUUCCAUUUUGGACCUGCAGUGUCCAGCACCGUCAGUGAACACAUGUCUGCAGUCUGAUCCAGUUUGUGGUAACAUGCUACAGCAGCCCUAAGAAACUAACAGGCAGGAGAUGAAUGUCCAAGGCUGUGUGUUUCUUCCAAGGGUGAAACCCAGUUCCUGUGUGGCCUCGUUCACGGCACCAUCCGGGUUAACACUCCGGUAGUUCGGCUUGCCACACUAAGGAAGCGCUAGUGAAAACUAAUGCAGGAUGGCUCCACGCUGAAAUGGGACACAUUGUUUAUAAAUUGUGGUCAAUUCAUACAUAUACUUAUUUGUCUUUUGCCAACGACACUACCCUAUAAUUAGGUAUCUUUCAUUUGUGAAAGGGUGUGGCGGAUGUUGGUUGAUGUUAGGUCAGUUUAAUAAGAAAC